rnacentral:rRNA from 1 species
UUCUAGUGGCGGACGGGUGAGUAACGUGUGGGCAACCUGCCCUAUACUGGGGAAUAAUCACUGGAAACGGUGACUAAUACCGCAUGUCAUUACGGAAGGGCAUCCUUCUGUAAGAAAAGGAGUAAUUCGGUAUAGGAUGGGCCCGCAUCUGAUUAGCUAGUUGGUGAGAUAACAGCCCACCAAGGCGACGAUCAGUAGCCGACCUGAGAGGGUGAUCGGCCACAUUGGGACUGAGACACGGCCCAAACUCC